CCUACGGGUGGCUGCAGUGGGGAAUAUUGGGCAAUGGGCGCAAGCCUGACCCAGCAACGCCGCGUGAAGGAAGAAGGCUUUCGGGUCGUAAACUUCUUUUGUCAGGGACGAAGCAAGUGACGGUACCUGACGAAUAAGCCACGGCUAACUACGUGCCAGCAGCCGCGGUAAUACGUAGGGGGCAAGCGUUAUCCGGAUUUAAUGGGUGUAAAGGGCGUGUAGGCGGGGAGGCGAGUCGGAUGUGAAAACGACGGGCUCAACCUGUGGCCUGCAUUGGACACUGUGUUGCUUGAGUGCAGGAGAGGCAAGCGGAAUUCCGUGUGUAGCGGUGAAAUGCGUAGAUAUUAGGAGGAACACCAGUGGCGAAGGCGGAUUGCUGGACAGUAACUGACGCUGAGGCACGAAAGCGUGGGGAGCAAACAGGAUUAGAUACCCCAGUAGUC
rnacentral:rRNA from 1 species